GAUUGUGCCUGGUCCUGAACGAGGCUCUAUGGAGACCCAAAGAAUAACAGCUCAAGGGCUCACAAUCUAGCAGGGCAGUGAGAACUGAAAAAACAAACAAAACUCCUUCCUACCCUGACAAAUGCUCUAAUGGGGACACACACAAGAUGUUCAAGAUCCUGGGGAAGCAAAUGACAUUGCUUAAGAAAGCCUUCCCAUGAUGCCCAGAAGAGGUAACCACCUGCUUCUUGUUACAAAGGACAGAUUUAUGGAGUUAGAAGAGAACUUAGCAUCCUAUCCAGAAUCUCCUGAGAAGAGUAAAGAUCAAACAUUUGGAAAAGCUUGGUUUUGCAGGUCUCAUUUCUUAGAGGAUAGUGGGCUAACAUGGGAGCUGACAUUUUGGAAUAAUUGCUCACCAGAAAACAAGGACUGGUUGCUAAAGUUGAAAUAAUGGGAACCCUCAAAGGAAGAUUUCACCUC